CUACGGGACGCAGCAGUGGGGAAUAUUGCACAAUGGAGGAAACUCUGAUGCAGCAACGCCGCGUGGAGGAUGACUCAUUUCGGUGCGUAAACUCCUUUUAUAUGAGAAGAUAAUGACGGUAUCAUAUGAAUAAGCACCGGCUAACUCCGUGCCAGCAGCCGCGGUAAUACGGGGGGUGCAAGCGUUACUCGGAAUCACUGGGCGUAAAGAGCAUGUAGGCGGAUAGAAAAGUUGGAAGUGAAAUCCUGUGGCUUAACCAUAGAACUGCUUCCAAAACUCGCUAUCUAGAAUAUGGGAGAGGUAGAUGGAAUUUCUGGUGUAGGGGUAAAAUCCGUAGAGAUCAGAAGGAAUACCGAUUGCGAAGGCGAUCUACUGGAACAUUAUUGACGCUGAGAUGCGAAAGCGUGGGGAGCAAACAGGAUUAGAUACCCCCGUAGUC
rnacentral:rRNA from 1 species